rnacentral:tRNA from 1 species
UGGGAUAUUGCUCAGUGGUAGAGUGCUUGGCUACCAUGCAAAAGGCCCUGGGUUGAUCCCUAGUACCACAA